UACGCAGGGUGCAAGCGUUAAUCGGAAUUACUGGGCGUAAAGCGUGCGCAGGCGGUGAUGUAAGACAGUUGUGAAAUCCCCGGGCUCAACCUGGGAACUGCAUCUGUGACUGCAUCGCUGGAGUGCGGCAGAGGGGGAUGGAAUUCCGCGUGUAGCAGUGAAAUGCGUAGAUAUGCGGAGGAACACCGAUGGCGAAGGCAAUCCCCUGGGCCUGCACUGACGCUCAUGCACGAAAGCGUGGGGAGCAAACAGG
rnacentral:rRNA from 1 species